GGCUUGGUGGUCUAGCGGUAUGAUUCUCGCUUAGGGUAUACUCUAUUCCCGACAAGCUGGUCCGUUAGGACAGCCGCGUUUGCGAGAGGUCCCGGGUUCAAGUCCCGGCCAAGCCC